rnacentral:rRNA from 1 species
GGAAGCGCAUCGAAAGGUGCGUGCCGCUUGCGGCCGGCGUACAGGUGCUGCAUGGCUGUCGUCAGCUCGUGCUGUGAAGUGUUGGGUUAAGUCCCGCACCGAGCGCAACCCCUGCUGCCUGUUGCCACCACGAGAGGUGGGGACUCAGGCGGGACCGCCGGUGACAAACCGGAGGAAGUGGGGACGACGUCAAGUCAUCAUGGCCCUUAUGUCCUGGGCUACACACGUGCUACAAUGGCCGGUACAGAGCGCAGCGAGGCCGCGAGGCGGAGCGAAUCGCUUAAAGCCGGUCCCAGUACGGAUUGGAGUCUGCAACCCGACUCCAUGAAGUUGGAAUCGCUAGUAAUCGCGCAUCAGCAUGGCGCGGUGAAUACGUUCCCGGGCCUU